rnacentral:rRNA from 1 species
AAUUGAGACAGGUGGUGCGAUGGUUGUCGUCAGCUCGUGUCGUGAGAUGUUGGGUUAAGUCCCGCAACGAGCGCAACCCUUGUGUUUAGUUGCAAACAGGUCAAGCUGUGCACUCUAGACAGACUGCCGUGGACAACACGGAGGAAGGUGGGGAUGACGUCAAAUCAUCAUGCCCCUUAUGAUCUGGGCUACACACGUGCUACAAUGGCCGGUACAACGGGCAGCGAAGGAGCGAUCCGGAGCGAAUCCUAAAAAGCCGGUCCCAGUUCGGAUUGCAGGCUGAAACUCGCCUACAUGAAGUUGGAGUUGCUAGUAAUCGCGAAUCAGAAUGUCGCGGUGAAUGCGUUCCCGGGUCUU